rnacentral:misc_RNA from 1 species
CCUGUUAACAACAUAUCAUCCACGUAAAUUAAUAAAACCAAUACACCUGUCGAUGUAUGCAUGACAAACAAGGAUGGAUUAGCUAAACUGCAAAAAAAACCAUAAUCAAUUAAAAACAUACUCAACCUAUUAAACCAGGCUCUCGGAGCCUGUUUUAAACCAUACAAUGCUCGUUGUAAUUUGCAAACAUGAUUAGGAUAAUUAGGAUCUUUCAUUCCAGGUGGCUGAUCCAUAUAUAAAUCUUCUGUUAUAAAUCCAUGCAAAAAUGCAUUUUUCACGUCUAAUUGGCGAAUUGGCCAAUUUUUCACUAAAGCCACAGAAAGAACUAAGCGUAUGGUUCCUGGUUUAAUAACAGGGGAGUAGGUUUCGGUGUAAUCAACACCAUCUAGUUGAUGAAACCCCUUGGCAACUAGUCUAGCUUUCAAUCUAUCCAAAUGCCCAUCAGAAUUUAUUUUAGCUUUAAAAACCCACUUACACCCUAUUAUAUUUACAUGCGCUGGUCUAGGAACAAGUUCCCAAGUGUGGUUUGACUGUAAAGCUUGAUACUCCUCUAUCAUAGCCUGUUUCCAACCUGGAUGUGCAAGAGCACUCUUAACAGUUUUAGGCUCAGGAGGUAUAUCAGGAGAUAUAGACACAUGUAAAGCAUACUUUGGGUUUGGCUUAACUAUUCCGGACUGUGACCUGGUGACCAUCGAAUGUCGAGGCUGCAAUGCUUCGUCCUGAACUUGUUCAGCUGAUAUUUCAGCCAAAGAUGAUGAACAGACUUCAGGAAGCAACUCUUCUUGAUCCGUAUGAACUGUUGGUAGACUAAUUACAGUACCAUCAAUCAUAGAAGUACCAGGUACAUGAGUAUUAGUUGGAGAUGACAAAAACACCGAGUCUGAUUCAAUUGCAGCAACUUGUUUACCAACAACGUCCUCUGCUGCUAAGGAAUUUUGAACUGUGUCUUCAACUCUAUUUGACAAAAACAAUGGAGGUGGAGACAGCUGCUCCUGUUCAGCCUGUUCUAGAUGCAUCCCGUCAUCUUGAACAGCAUCAGAGUGUGAAUGAUGAGCUGCUAGUGGAGACUCACUUGUAGGAUCAGAUUCUGUUUCAUGAUCUCCUAUAGUCCGAUUGUCAUGUGUUGCUGGUAUAGGAACUGGUAAUACAUCUGGACCUGCACUUUCUUCAGAACUUAGUGGAAAAUCAGUAAUCUCAGCAGAUGGUAACCAAGAAUCCAUAAGCUUGUCAACAAACAUUUUAUUAGGAGAUGCAGAUUUAUACGGAAAAACAUUUUCAUCAAAGCUCACAUGUCGAGAUAUUAUUAUUUUCUUAGUUUUGGGAUUGAAACAUUUGUAACCUUUGUGUUUUUCACUAUACCCUAUAAAAACACAUAAACAAGACUUAGGAUCAAACUUAUGACCUCUUGUGUCCCAUAUAUAUGGAAAACACUUAGAACCAAAGACACGUAGGGAGCUAUAAUCAAAAUGAGUUCCAUGCAAUUUAAAAUAUGGUGUUUCAUUCCCUAGCACAGAAGUAGGCAACCUAUUUAUUAAAAAAACAGCAGUUUGAAAAGCAUCGACCCACAUAGACAAUGGCACAUGACUAUGAUACAUCAUCGUCAAUCCUAAUUCACGAAUAAAACGGUGUCGUCGUUCGACAGCACCUGUUUGCUCGGGUGUAUGAGGACACGACACUUGAUGUUUAAUACCUUGUGAAAGAAAAUGUGAAGAUAAAGCAUUAUUCAAAAACUCACCUCCUCCAUCGGAAUGGAAAACCUUGAUGGUCUUCCCAAAUUGUCUUAGCACAAACUGUUCAAAAGCUUUAUAAGCAACAAAGAAAUCCGAUUUUUUCUUUAGUGGUAUAAGCCAAGAGUAUUUAGAAUAGUCAUCUACCAAGCAAGCAUAAUAUUUAAAUUUGGCAAAAGAUAAAACAGGGGCUGGUCCCCAUAAAUCACAAUGAACUUUUUCAAAUACAGUGGUACUUUUAUUGGAAGACAAACUAAAUGGAAAUUUGCUCAAUUUGCCUAAUUGGCAGCUAUCACAUAAAAAUUUAGAAUGCAAGGAACCUUUAACAUCAAUAAGGUUCUUAUUAAACAAAAUAGAAAUCGCAGAAGGUUGAGGGUGUCCUAAUCGUUGAUGCCAUAUGUCUGCUGUUCCAGACCUAAAUCGAUUGGAAAAAUAUGCUUUCGGAUUCCCUGACAAGAUAUAAAGGUUAUUUUUCCGUGGCCCUUGUAGCAGUACCUGUCCCGUCUGUCGAUCCUUAACAGAAAUAGAAACAUUAGAAAAUUCACAAUUCACAGGAUAAUCAUCUGUUAAUUGGCCUACAGAAAGUAAAUUCUUUUUUAGAGCAGGAACAGAAAAGACAUUUGAAAGUGAUAAUUUUUGCUUCUGUUCUAUAGACGUCAUUCCAACACCAUCGAUGGAUAGAAACGUUCCAUCGCCGAUGGUCAUGGAAUCAGGUCCAUAAUAGUCAGUAAGUUUAUGGAAUAGAUUUUUGUUACCUGUCAUAUGAUUCGAUGCACCAGAGUCUGCAACCCAGUCAGUAUCUACAACAUCAGUAUCCAAUGUGAGUGCCGAAAGAGCUUGAGCAGGGCUGCUUUGUUUUUCUUGUGGAAUCCACCAGCAAAUCUUCGCGAUGUGACCAUCUCUGUUGCAGUAUUGACACACUUCAUUCUUAUACAGCUCUCGUUCAGCUGGUGUCAUUCUUCUACGACCAGCCGGGGGAGGUCGCCGUUGGGAAGAAUACGACUCUUUGUUUGGAAAAGGGUUUUGCGUUUGCUGGGCUUGAAAACCACGCCCUUGGGAAUUAAAUCUAGGACGCCGAUUCGAGGAAUUACUGGAUGAAUUCUGUUGAUUUCCAUAAAAAGCCACAUGCGAAAUUUGAUCAAGACCAGAUUCGUUCUGUGUGGAAAACCACACUCGUCGCUGGUCUAAAUUCUUAAGUUGAGAGACCAGUUCAUUAAAAUUGGGUCGCGGUGGUUUAAGCAUCGUCGUAGUAAACGUUUCGUACUGGGGUCCCAGACUGGUAAGGAGACAAAAGACUUUUUCUUCAUCGGGUACUUUUUUCCCGAUAGCGGCUAAACUGUCGCAGAGUUCUUUAAACAAACGCAGAUGUUCAGUGAUGGACCGAUUUUCAUCUUUGCGAAAAUAGGUCAAUUGCUGUCUGAGGGUAAAUUCCCUCUCUUGAGAAUCUUGUGCAUAUGCAUCUUUUAAUGCACUCCAAACAGUAUGAACUGUUUCUAGUCCGAUGACAAGUCCGAGUGAUUCCUCACUAAGGGUGCCAUAGAUCCACCCACGAAGUAAUCUAUCAGACUUUUGCCACGCCUUGAAGAUGUCUGAUUGCUGUGGUUGAUAGUUUUCUGGAAUUGGAUUGGGAGGGGUAACGAAUUUCUGAUCUUCAGGAAAGCCAUUAACCAAAUGAUCCGACAAUUCCUGACUUUCAGCUAAACUCAAAAGUUGUUCUCUCCACAGAGGAUAGUUUGAUUGUUUGAGCUUUAAGGUAACAAAAUUGGCUACAUUCAGAGAAGAAGCCAUGGUGAGCAGAUCGUUGAGGCUCUGAUACCAAGAUAACAAAGUAAAGAAAAUGUAAUUUUAUUAAUGUGAAACCUCAAUAAUCCAAUUGACAGUAUACAUUCAGCUUAAAUAAAAAGAAUAAUAACAGAGGUUGCUGAAAAAGAGGAGAAAAAUAAUGAAGACUAUCACUUGGAAGGGAACGAAUUACCCAAAGAAUCUCAACCACAAAGACUCAUUCAAAUAUACAAUAUUUACAGAAUUCACCUUAUCACUCCUUUACUCAAGCCUAAAAACACGGCAUCCUUAUUUCUCCUGAGAGGCGGACUCGUCCUUAUUACUCCUUGAGUUAAUAUCCCCCCUCAAACUAUGUCCAGGGUGGAGACAUAGUUUGCGUCGAAAUUGUGCUAGGCGAGCCUUUGUCAUGGACUUCGUAAAUAUAUCAGCGAUUUGAUAUGCUGAGGGAAUGUAUCUUGUGAUCAAAGCCCCUUGAGCAACACGCUCUCUAACAUAGUGAUAGUCAAGAGCAACAUGCUUACUGCGUGAAUGUAAUACUGGAUUGACUGUUAAAUGUAGUGCACUAAGAUUAUCACCAUAUAAAAUAGGCGGCUGCUUGGGAUAGAUUUGCAAGUCCUGUAAGAGAUAUCCAAGCCAAGUAAGCUCGGCUGCAGUGUGAGCCAUGGAACGAUACUCGGCCUCAGUGCUAGAACGCGCAACAGUGUGUUGUUUCUUGGCACACCAGGAAAUGAUAUUGCAACCAAGAAAAGUACAGUAGCCUGUAGUAGACCGUCGUGUGGUUGGACAUCCGGCCCAGUCUGCAUCAGAAAAUGCACUAAGAACAAGUGAGGUAUCUUUUUUAAAAAAUAAGCCAAAAUGUAUUGUUCCUUUGAGAUAUCGUAAUAUACGACGAACAUAUUUUAAGUGAGACAAAGUUGGACUGUGCAUGAAUUGAGAAAUAUAGUUGACACUAUAGGACAAAUCCGGUCGGGUUAGUGUCAAAUACUGUAACGAACCCACAAGCCCUCGAAAGAAGGUGGGAUCAGCUACUGGUGUCGGGUCUGUAACAGCAUCGUGUCGCUGAACAAGUGGAGUGGGCAUCGGUUGACAAUCCACCAUCUGAGCUCUUUCCAAAAUUGAAUAGGCAUAACGGGUUUGAUUCAAUUGUAACCCAGAGUCAGUCGAUUGAAUUUGAAUGCCUAGAAAAUGAUGCAAUGGCCCAAGGUCUUUCAUGGAAAACUCCUUGCUUAAGACCUGCAAAAAAUUCUGAACUAGAGCCAUAGACGAUCAUUAACAAAGCAGUCAUGGAAAU